UAGCAAUUGUUUUCUCUUCUCCUUCCUCUUUUUUUUGAAGGAGUAUGUAUUGAAAUAUUACAAACAUAAUUCUAUUUUUUUUCUUCCUCUUAUCCUUCUAUUUUUUCUUCCUCUUAUCCUUCUAUUUUUUCAUUCCUUUUUUUUUCUUUUCUAUUUUCUUUUUCUAUUUUUUUUCUUUUUCUGCCAACUUCUGAAACAUUACAAACAUAGUUAUUCAACCCCACACAACUCCAAACAAGACUCUUUCAACCCUUUGAAUAGGGUGAUAACAUUGUUUUUCACUUCUCGGCUUGUAAU
rnacentral:lncRNA from 1 species